rnacentral:rRNA from 1 species
AUUGAACGCUGGCGGCAGGCCUAACACAUGCAAGUCGAACGAGUGGCGGACGGGUGAGUAAUGUCUGGGAAACUGCCUGAUGGAGGGGGAUAACUACUGGAAACGGUAGCUAAUACCGCAUACCAUCGGAUGUGCCCAGAUUGGAUUAGCUGGUAGGUGGGGUAAAGGCUCACCUAGGCGACGAUCCCUAGCUGGUCUGAGAGGAUGACCGGCAACACGGGAACUGAAACACGGUCCAGCCUCCGACGGGAGGCAGCAGUGGGGAAUGUUGCACAGUGGGCGCAAGCCUGAUGCAGCCGUGCCGCGUGUAUGAAGAAGGCCUUCGGGUUGUAAAGUACUUUCGGCGGGGAGGCGUUACCCGCAGAAGAAGCACCGGCUAACUCCGUGCCAGCAGCCGCGGUAAUU